rnacentral:rRNA from 1 species
CCAGCCUGCCCAGUGACCUAGUUUAACGGCCGCGGUAUCCUAACCGUGCGAAGGUAGCGUAAUCACCUGUUUUUUAAUUGAAGACCUGUAUGAAAGGCAUCACGAGAAUCGUACUGUCUCCUUUUUCUAAUCAGUGAAACUAAUCUUCCCGUGAAAAAGCGGGAAUACUAAUACAAGACGAGAAGACCCUUUGGAGCUUAAGACAAAGUAACGUUUUGCAUCCCCUACUUAAACCUAUCUCUCCAAGCAUCUACAUUACAAGUCUUCGGUUGGGGCAACCGCGGAGUAAAACUCACCCUCCAAGCUGAAUGGAAUUUUCCUAAGCAAAAAGCCACACCUUUAUGCAUCAACAAAUUGACAAUAUGACCCAAUAUUUUGAUUAUCGAACCAAGUUACCCCAGGGAUAACAGCGCAAUCCACUUCGAGAGUUCAUAUCGACAAGUGGGCUUACGACCUCGAUGUUGGAUCAGGGUACCCCAGUGGUGCAGCCGCUACUAAUGGUUCGUUUGUUCAACG